UCAAAUCACAUACUUUUUUGCUUAGUUGUCUCCUUUGUUGAUUCGUUUGUAACAUCAUUAUUCUUAUACUGCUUAUCUCUCAAACUUGGCUUUGUGUGAAAGAACAAUAUUGGUUAUCAGAAGAGGCCAGGUCGGGACUUUAAAGUAAAUGUUCCAAUUAUUCACAGCCAUAUCGUCUAAUUUGGCCGUGACGUGUGAGUGAGCAUUGCCAUGAAACAAGGUUAUUUCACAACUGCAUCGUAUACAUACCGUAUUUGUUUAACUUUCAUUAAAUUGUUCUUCUUUCUAAUUGCUCAAUCAUUCAACAUUAUCACGAUAAAUUUCACAAGGUUGGCAAUGAAUGUUAGUUGGCUUGUUUUAUUGUUCGCUUUAAGAAAUAUGAUGACUGAUUGCUCUUCACAGUCAACUUGAGAGUUAAUGGACUUAAAUAAUUGUAACAAUGAAAAGAAGUUACAAAUGCAAUAUGAUUGUGAAGUAGUGGUGUAUUUUCAAAGCCAGGAAGAUGAGGAAUUUAGUGCGCUUUUGUGAAGUACAGACUAUUAUGGAACUGUGACAGCAAAGUGAAACACCAGUAACUAACUGUUCAAAAAUACCCUGUGCUUAUGUUCAGGAAUACAUGUAACCUUUUACAUUUAAAAAGUGCAAAUGUUUAAAAAGAAUUUAUAGAACCUUUUAUUAACUUUACUAAUACAUUGUUCAGCUAGCCAAUAGUUCAAGAUUAAAUUGCAUUACAUAUUAAAUUAAUUUGAUUUUCAAGUGAUCUACAGUGGGAGGCGUGUAGGUGUGCCCUUGAACUUUGCCAGUGAAUAAGUGAGGGUGGUGACAAGGUAUGGUUUGGGGGAGAAAGUGUUCAUUUCUGCAAAAAUAAACUAGGCACUCUCAGCUCUUACCUUUCCUGCUCUCUAGUCAUUUAUACACAGAUUGAUGUCUUUAUAUAUGACUGUACAACUUGGCCUACUUUGGUCUUGCGUACUGCUACAUGCCUCCCUUCUACUAUACCUUUUUCUUGAUGUAGACAUAUUCUGGUCCUAUCAAGUGAUUGUAUAUUUACUCCAGUUGGUCUUGGACACAUCUUGGUAUACCUUCGUAUAUUAGGACAUAAGUCAGGAUUGGCCGGUAUGGGAUUAACAGGGACAGAAACUCUUGUCACUGGUGAAAUAUGAUAUGAGUGAACAUCACUAAUGAAUGUUUCCAAUGGCAUUUACUUAUUGUUUACUUCACUGUCAGAAUAAACACAUGUUACAUCUUA